rnacentral:rRNA from 1 species
GAAUGAACGCCUAGCCUACAGGCUUAACACAUGCAAGUCGAGGGGCAGCAUGGUCUUAGCUUGCUAAGGCCGAUGGCGACCGGCGCACGGGUGAGUAACACGUAUCCAACCUGCCGUCUACUCUUGGACAGCCUUCUGAAAGGAAGAUUAAUACAAGAUGGCAUCAUGAGUCCGCAUGUUCACAUGAUUAAAGGUAUUCCGGUAGACGAUGGGGAUGCGUUCCAUUAGAUAGUAGGCGGGGUAACGGCCCACCUAGUCUUCGAUGGAUAGGGGUUCUGAGAGGAAGGUCCCCCACAUUGGAACUGAGACACGGUCCAAACUCCUACGGGAGGCAGCAGUGAGGAAUAUUGGUCAAUGGGCGAGAGCCUGAACCAGCCAAGUAGCGUGAAGGAUGACUGCCCUAUGGGUUGUAAACUUCUUUUAUAAAGGAAUAAAGUCGGGUAUGGAUACCCGUUUGCAUGUACUUUAUGAAUAAGGAUCGGCUAACUCCGUGCCAGCAGCCGCGGUAAUACGGAGGAUCCGAGCGUUAUCCGGAUUUAUUGGGUUUAAAGGGAGCGUAGAUGGAUGUUUAAGUCAGUUGUGAAAGUUUGCGGCUCAACCGUAAAAUUGCAGUUGAUACUGGAUAUCUUGAGUGCAGUUGAGGCAGGCGGAAUUCGUGGUGUAGCGGUGAAAUGCUUAGAUAUCACGAAGAACUCCGAUUGCGAAGGCAGCCUGCUAAGCUGCAACUGACAUUGAGGCUCGAAAGUGUGGGUAUCAAACAGGAUUAGAUACCCUGGUAGUCCACACGGUAAACGAUGAAUACUCGCUGUUUGCGAUAUACUGCAAGCGGCCAAGCGAAAGCGUUAAGUAUUCCACCUGGGGAGUACGCCGGCAACGGUGAAACUCAAAGGAAUUGACGGGGGCCCGCACAAGCGGAGGAACAUGUGGUUUAAUUCGAUGAUACGCGAGGAACCUUACCCGGGCUUAAAUUGCAGAUGAAUUACGGUGAAAGCCGUAAGCCGCAAGGCAUCUGUGAAGGUGCUGCAUGGUUGUCGUCAGCUCGUGCCGUGAGGUGUCGGCUUAAGUGCCAUAACGAGCGCAACCCUUGUUGUCAGUUACUAACAGGUUCCGCUGAGGACUCUGACAAGACUGCCAUCGUAAGAUGUGAGGAAGGUGGGGAUGACGUCAAAUCAGCACGGCCCUUACGUCCGGGGCUACACACGUGUUACAAUGGGGGGUACAGAGGGCCGCUACCACGCGAGUGGAUGCCAAUCCCCAAAACCUCUCUCAGUUCGGACUGGAGUCUGCAACCCGACUCCACGAAGCUGGAUUCGCUAGUAAUCGCGCUUCAGCCACGGCGCGGGAAAUACGUUCCCGGGCCU